GCCUGGCUUUGCCGUUUCCUUUGGCAGCUCCCAAGACCUGAGGGUAGGAGUCCUGGGCAGCUGGGACCUGCCAGGCCAUUCUGUAUCUCCCAUGGGGCUCACGACCCAGGGACCCCCGUUCCUAUCUGAGAGGACCACUUCUUCCUGAAGCUGGAACCCGAUACUUGUUGGUGCCAACAACUGAAACCAGAUGUGCAGACACAUGUUUUCACGUGGAGCACGUGUGUCCAUUUGGAGGCCAGAAGUCAACCUCAGUAUUGUUCACUCAGCAAAUAUUGAACAAUAUUCUUUGGCACCGAGGACUCAGUCUAGCAAGGAAAUGAGCUGUCAAACAAACAUGACGCACCACAAGCCCAGGGCAUGUGGGAAU
ensembl:antisense Hnf4aos hepatic nuclear factor 4 alpha, opposite strand